GCUUUCCUGUGGCUCAGUCCGUAGAGCAUUGCACUAGCAACUCAGGGAUCGUGGGUUCAAACCACAAGGGAAGCA